rnacentral:tRNA from 1 species
GCGGGCAUAGUGUAAAGGCAGCACACAGGCUUUCGGGGCCUGAAUGUCGGUUUCCAACCCGAUAGUGGGGGUUCGAUUCCUCCUGCCCGUG